rnacentral:rRNA from 1 species
UAGGGAAUAUUGGACAAUGGGGGCAACCCUGAUCCAGCCAUGCCGCGUGAGUGAUGAAGGCCUUAGGGUUGUAAAGCUCUUUCAGCGGGGAAGAUAAUGACGGUACCCGCAGAAGAAGCCUCGGCUAACUCCGUUCCAGCAGCCGCGGUAAUACGGAGGAGGCUAGCGUUGUUCGGAAUUACUGGGCGUAAAGCGUGCGUAGGCUGUUUUCUAAGAUGAGUGUGAAAGCCCGGAGCUCAACUCCGGAACUGCGCUCAUGACUGGAAGACUGGAGUCCGAGAGAGGUGAGUGGAAUUCCCAGUGUAGAGGUGAAAUUCGUAGAUAUUGGGAAGAACACCAGUGGCGAAGGCGGCUCACUGGCUCGGUACUGACGCUGAUGCACGAAAGCGUGGGGAGCAAA